rnacentral:tRNA from 1 species
AAGCGAGAAGCAAACAUUGCAAUCAGUUUCGACCUGAUCUUAGAUAAUAUGAUUAUCCUCACUUU